AUUGAACGCUGGCGGCAGGCCUAAUACAUGCAAGUCGAGCGAGCGGCGGACGGGUGAGUAAUGUAGGGGAAACUGCCUGAAGGAGGGGGAAAACUACUGGAAACGGUAGCUAAAACCGCAUACCAUCAGAUGUGCCCAGAUGGGAUUAGCUAGUAGGUGGGGUAACGGCUCACCUAGGCGACGAUCCCUAGCUGGUCUGAGAGGAUGACCAGCCACACUGGAACUGAGACACGGUCCAGACUCCUACGGGAGGCAGCAGUGGGGAAUCUUCCGCAAUGGGCGCAAGCCUGACGGAGCAAUGCCGCGUGUGUGAAGAAGGCCUUCGGGUUGUAAAGCACUUUCAGCGGGGAGGCGUUACUCGCAGAAAAAGCCCCGGCUAACUACGUGCCAGCAGCCGCGGUAAUAC
rnacentral:rRNA from 1 species